UUAGCAUAUCAAUAAGCGGAGGAAAAGAAACCAACAGGGAUUGCUCUAGUAACGGCGAGUGAAGCAGCAAUAGCUCAAAUUUGAAAUCUGGCGUCUUCGACGUCCGAGUUGUAAUUUGUAGAGGAUGCUUCUGAGUAACCACCGACCUAAGUUCCUUGGAACAGGACGUCAUAGAGGGUGAGAAUCCCGUAUGCGGUCGGAAAGGUGCUCUAUACGUAGCUCCUUCGACGAGUCGAGUUGUUUGGGAAUGCAGCUCUAAAUGGGAGGUAAAUUUCUUCUAAAGCUAAAUAUUGGCCAGAGACCGAUAGCGCACAAGUAGAGUGAUCGAAAGAUGAAAAGCACUUUGGAAAGAGAGUUAAAAAGCACGUGAAAUUGUUAAAAGGGAAGGGAUUGCAACCAGACUUGCUCGCGGUGUUCCGCCGGUCUUCUGACCGGUCUACUCGCCGCGUUGCAGGCCAGCAUCGUCUGGUGCCGCUGGAUAAGACUUGAGGAAUGUAGCUCCCUCGGGAGUGUUAUAGCCUCUUGUGAUGCAGCGAGCGCCGGGCGAGGUCCGCGCUUCGGCUAGGAUGCUGGCGUAAUGGUCGUAAUCCGCCCGUCUUGAAACACGGACCAAGGAGUCUAACAUCUAUGCGAGUGUUCGGGUGUCAAACCCCUACGCGUAAUGAAAGUGAACGGAGGUGAGAACCGCAAGGUGCAUCAUCGACCGAUCCUGAUGUCUUCGGAUGGAUUUGAGUAAGAGCAUAGCUGUUGGGACCCGAAAGAUGGUGAACUAUGCCUGAAUAGGGUGAAGCCAGAGGAAACUCUGGUGGAGGCUCGCAGCGGUUCUGACGUGCAAAUCGAUCGUCAAAUUUGGGUAUAGGGGCGAAAGACUAAUCGAACCAUCUAGUAGCUGGUUCCUGCG
rnacentral:rRNA from 1 species